AUGAACGAAGACACAAUAGAGUUGCUUCUUUAUGUAUAGCCUUGCGAUUAACACCUUAGAACCCUAGACAAACUAGCCGACUACUCAGCCAUAACACAAGAUGAACCAGACAUGAUAACUGAAUAAUACUGCAUGUAAAUCCAAAGAUAAAUCAAUAGGGUUCAGGAUGAUCUUCUCUAUCAAGAAGAGGAACCGUCUCCCAUACAAUAGCAAUUAUUCAAGAAUAGGUCUAGGUCUCUUGCAAAACUAGCGUAGUCCAUAAAAUAAAGAUAAGGAUGGCUUUUUAUAUGGAGGCGCCAUCGACUUCAGAGAAGAGAAAAGGUGAUUAGGGCAAAUCUUUGAAAGAUAUGGAAACUUCCAUAAAUGUCGGGAACAAUCAAUCAUGCAUCAACAUAAUGCAAGGCGGAAUCAAUCAUGCAUCAACAUAAUGCAAGGCGGAAACAUCACAAUAACAAUGCAUGCUACUACACUUCGCGGAGACUCUCUACUCGACGCGUAAGACCAACACAGCUGUAUGCCUUGUCCAACUCAACAACACGUCUAGACUCAAUCCUCGACUCAAUUCAACACAAAACCCAACACACGAAUGGAGCUCCUGCUACAACAUCCUUCGGAUCCCACACAACACACCGGACUCCAUCAUUUGAACACUCUCAGAUACAAACACACAAGUCACAUAGCUGGAAAACAUCAUUUUCCGGCAAACGGCCAUACUCCGAGUCCGGACUACAUCGUCAUGUAGCGCUUGUCCAUGGGCGUG
rnacentral:lncRNA from 1 species